ensembl:lncRNA novel transcript
GACAACUCGCGGGGAUUGUUUUCCACACCGUGGAAGCUUUGUUCUUUUCGUUUUUUGCAAUAAAUCUUGUUGCUGCUCGCUUUUUGGGUCCACAUUGCUUUUAUGAGCUGUACCACUCACCGUGAAGAUCUGCAGCUUCACUUCAGAGCCUAGCGAGACCACAAGCUCACUGAGAGGAACAAACAACUCCAGACGCGCUGUCUUAAGAGCUAUAACACUCACCGCGAAGGUGUGCAGUUUCACUCCUGAGCUAGUGAGACUACGAAGCCACUGGAACGAAGAAACUCCAACCACGUUUGAACAUCAGAAGGGGCAGACUCCAGACGCUUCAUCUUAAGAGCUGUAACACUCACUGUGAAGGUCUGCAGCUUCACUCCUGAGCCAGCGAGACCACGAACCGAUCUGAACAUCAGAAGGGACAGACUCCAGAUGCCCCACCUUAAGAGCUGUAAUACUCACUGCAAGGGUCUGCAGCUUCAUUCUUGAAGUCAGACCAAGAACCCAGCAAUUCCCAACACACAGGGACCAGCUUCUUUCCUAACUCACUUAGGCUCUUCGUGCUGCUCUGGCAACUAACACCCUUGGCUGCAGGGGCUUGGACACUACCCUUAGUCACUGACAAUUGUGUGAAGGCUGCUGUCGUUAACUUCACUUGAUCACCUUAGGCUCCUGUGAAGUGGUGAGCAAUUCAAACAAAUUCCUGUCGUCAAAUCAUGAUAUACAUCUUUCCACACCAAUAGACCUUGUUUUCCGAUGUAGCAUUAUUUUUCAUAGUUGGCGAAUAUACAGUUAUGGAUUCAUAACAGCAAGAUGGAGAAAUUGCACUGCAGAGAAAUCUUUAAAAGCAAUUACCUAAUACUGCAGAUUGCUGAACUGUACCCACACCCAAGACUGAGCAUUGGAUCAAUCCAGAAUAUACAUCAGGUGUUCUGCAAUGUCUGCCUAAAACCAUGACUCUGCCUCCUCCAGCUGUUGCUACAUCUCACUAUGGGUUUCCUGUGACAUUUUGAGCAAGUAUGCCUCUGUGACUGGGGUUCUUACACUCCAGAAUGGAUGAGAAGCACCGUAAGUGGCUUUUAAAAUGAAUAUUCCCUGGCCCUUCAGUCGCUCUAUAGGUCAAGAAUCUGAAUUCUCAACCUGUCUAGAAGGUUCUGGUUUUAAUGGUCUGUGGGCUGCACAUUGAGAAACCUGUUCAGCGAGUGCAACAAAGGUUCCACAUGUGAGAAAGGAAGCAUCAGGUCUCUUGAGCCUGUUCUUUAAUCUGUAGGCUGCACCUUCUCUUUAAAUUCUGCUAAUAACACCAUGCGAGAAAACACCCGAGCUUGAAAAGCCCAUGUUCCAACAUAACUGUCCUUCACCACUCUGGAAAAUUAAUGGUUUGUUUCGAUUAUCCCUUUGUUAAACUCCAAAGUCAAAGAGCUCUGAAAGGCAUACGGUUAUUUUAAGUUUCAGGUGAUUUCUGUUGCCAAAUAUUUUAAAAAUUUAAAAUUGCUACGUGACCUCUUAGUAGUACUAUUAGAUUUCCUGACAAUAAAAAUAAGUCUUUUGGUUUCACCAUUUAUAGUUAGUACAGCUAAUAUUAAGUAUAAUUUUAAAAGCCUUUUAUUUUCUCAGAAAGAAAAAAUAAUCAAAAUCUGCUCAGUGUGGUAUUGAAUAAUUAAAAACAAAAGAACAGUAUCUUCACAUUAGUGUUUAAUAUUAAUUGCUUUUUUACCCUUGACACUGGUGCUAAUUAAAUUUUCAUUUUAUUUUCCAUGACUUGUUUAAACAGUUUUUGCAAAUUAUUGCUAAUCAGCCUAAUAAAACUGAAUCACCUAUUAAACAAUUUUGUUU